rnacentral:lncRNA from 1 species
AGUAGUUCUUAACCAGAUUAUUUUGACGCUUUCAGGUAGGGUUGGAGAGGAAAAGAACCACAGUCUAAAACUGAAAAGAGUUUGUGAGGUUCUUCAGGGAUAUUAUGGUCUCCUGAAAAGAAAUCCUAACCAGGAACUCAGCACAUGUGAGCUCUAGUUCCCACUUUAUUGGGAGCUGAGUAUAAGAUCUUAGGUAUAAUAUUUCUUCUGUCCUUGGUUUUCUUGUCUGUCAAACAAAUGAUGGUAACACUCCAGAUUUUAUUUUUAUUUUAUUUUAUUUUAUUUUAUUUUAUUUUAUUUGUGAUACCUGAUAAAAUGGUGAAAUAAAUAGAAUAAAAAUAAGAUGGUGAAUAGAAAUAGAGAUAUUGGUGCAAAUAUGACAAGGGAAAAAAUUGCAGCACAGGUUGAUUAUCAUUUACCUGAAAUGCUUGAGACACAAUGUACCUCAGAUUACAAAUUGUAUAUAUAUAUUUUUUUUAUUUUGAAAUAUUUGUAUAGACUUUCUACUUUCUAUUAGAUUUGAGAGUAUUUCAGAUUUUGGAAUUAGGGUUAUUCAAUCCGUUACCAGGUAAAACUCACAAAACUAGUGUACUGUGAGUGAUCACUGUUCAUUUGAAAAUUCACUUGGUACUUAAUUUAUACUCUUUCCUUUGGUCUCCUAUUUGCUCUAGGUGUCAACUCUGCCCGCUCAGUUCCUCCUUCCUACCCACCACCACAGGACCCGUUAAACCAGGGCCAGUACCUGGUCCCCGAUGGCAUCGCUCAGUCUCAAGUGUUUGAGUUCACUGAACCGAAACGCAGCCAGUCACCAUUCUGGCAAAACUUCAGUAGGUUAACCCCCUUCAAAAAAUAAUACCUAUAGGAAGGCAGAUAAUUUUAAAAUAAAUAAAAUUAUAUUUAUAGAUGGACCUUUUUUUCGGAGAAGCACUGUUGAAAAUUUAUAUAUAUAUAUAUAUAUAAAAUGUGUGUGUGUGAGAGAGAGUGAGUGUGUGUGUGUGCGUGUGUGUGCACACAUACAUGCACACACACACACGCACACAUAGACCUUUACGUAUACACGUGUGUGUGUGGGCAUGUGUGCACAUAUGCAUGCACAUGCAUGCACACAUACAUACAUAUACACACACAGAGAAGGACCAAAACCAUUUUCUGUUGUUUUGGGGAGUUGAAAUCUGUAGUUGGUAAGAAGUACCACUGAUUUCCAAACAUGUAAUCACUUCUUCAAAUUUUUAGUUCUUAACCUUGUUUCCUCCCCCUUACUCUCUGUUAUUUUUCCUGUUAAGAUAACUUAUUCGCUCCUCUAGUUCACUGACCUGUCAUUAUUACCAUAGAGUAUUUGCAUUGUUUUAUUUCCCUUUCCUUAUGAUACUGACGCUGAUAACUUUUGAAUUGAAUUUAUGUAGUGGGUUUGGGAUUUCAUUUCUCUCCCUGUCACUUUCCACUGAGAAGGGGAGGAUUCCCGUCUCCUGUUCCUCAUGCACCCAUCUGCAAAUGUUCCUGUAGCCCUGCAGUUAUACCAACAGCCUCUUCCCAGCAUCCUGUGUCCACAAUUGUGCCAGUCUAUACAUGCUCUGUUGUGCCCUGUGACUUAUCUGCUUGGUAUUUCUAUUGCUUUCACUGUUUUAGGUAUUGUGGAAGGAUAUAAAACCAAACAGAAACAAAGGAGUGAACGAAUGUAAUGAGAGUCGAGAAGAUUUCUGUUAGGGGGAUAGUUUUUAUUUAGGUGAUUUCUUCCCAUAUAACAGCAAUGCUAAGCCAUUGAAAGUUUCCACCUAAGAAUUAGUUUGGGUCCAUUAGUCUCUUUUCCAAGCCUCUUUUGUUAUGGAUCUCCUUUUCAGUCUAUCUCUUCCCUAGGCAAAAGGUUUAACUAAACUAGUAGCAAAGAAAUUGAGACUUUGCAUCCUGGGGAAGAGAUUUAUCUCCACCCCAUAACUCAUAGAUGGUAGGUAGGUGUCAGGCAGGGCUCUCUUUAUAGUGUUCUGGUAACCCCUGCUUCUGUUUUCAGAUUCAUAAGGCAUCAUUGUUAGUAGUUUAUGGAGGCGUUCAAGAGAAAAACCUGCUUGGCCAAGAGCAUUAGCCACCUUCAGAUUAACCUGAAAAGAGUUCAAGGUUGACAACAGCAUCUUAUAGAGACCAUCAGGAAAAGAGAGAGGCUUGAUCUAAGAUAAUAUACCAGUAAUUUGCAUCACUGAAAUUAUAAGAAACAUCCCCAAUUGUUAGCAGAUUGCAUGGAUAAUCUCUGUCUCCUUUUUUUGCCCUUACUGUCUUUCAGGUAGAGGAUUGCGAGUAUGGGAUAGUUAGAGCCAUUAUGGCACUCAAAGCAGGCUUUGUUCCAGACAGACUCCCAUCCCAGGACAACUGAGGCAAGUGGUAGAGAAGCCUAGGGCUACUUUUACAUCUGGGGGAAAAGAAAAGAUCUGAGGUAGAACACUGAAGUUAUUUCUUGGCAGGGUUUCCAUUUGACCAGAAUGUUUCCCACAAAAAUCAGAAUCCUCAUGAGUACAAGAGUGCUUAUUCUUUGUCAUUUAGCCCUUUCUAUGGCUAGAGAUUGGAGCAAGAACAAUAGAAUAUAAAGAAGUGUGAAAACCCACCCUAUCCAGGAAUCUGGAGAUUGUGUCUGUCCUGGACCUCACAAGAAAAUACUUCAUU